CUUUCAAACCCUCUCUUUCACGCUUCCUUUAACUUAAUUAUUCCCAACUCCCUUUCUUGAGUAGUUGAACAAUUUAUUGCCCUCUUCUUCAACCUCCCCCCUUUCAAUUCUUUUUUAAUUCCCAUUUCCACAUUUCAAUUCCCAUUCCCAUUCCAUUCUCUUCUCUCCCCUUUGGUCACUUUCAAUCCCUUUGGUUGGUAGUGCUUGUGAGACUCUAUAAUGGAGUUUUUUUUGUUUCUAUUAAUGGGUUGUUUUGUUUGUAUGUUAGAUAGAUGAUUGCACGAGGUAUUGGUGCGGUUCAAUGAGAAAGCGAUCAAGGGUAUUUCUUUACCCUACUUUUUGAUUGAGCCGUGCCAAUAUCACGUGUUAAUGGAGUUGGGACACCUUUGUGCCCCAUCACCAUUAUUCAGAUUUGGGUGUUUUUUUUUUUUUUUAAUCUUCAUUCUCCCCUGGUUGAGGAUGCCCUUACUGCACAAGUUCCUGGGGAGAAAUCCUGAAUUUAAGAGUGACUUAAAGAUGAAGAUGCCUAGGAAUGGAGGGGCACAAGAAUCUGUACCAUAAACUGUGUUUGCUUUCCACUUUUGCACAUUAAUGGCGUAUAGUGUUAUAGAAAGUUUUGCUUUUUUUUUUUUUUUCUUUGCCCCUCUCUGGGUCUCUGCAAUUUUCAAAAUGUGCACAUGAAGUAAAGGCAAAAGGUCUAUAGUAAAACCAAUACCCUGCAAAUCUAUAUGAUUUUCUUUUCAUCUUUCUCA